rfam:Hordeum vulgare subsp. vulgare, WGS project CAJW01000000 data, contig: morex_contig_1545119
AGUAUUUGGUAUCUGCGCUCUGCUGAAGCCAGUUACCUUCGGAAAAAGAGUUGGUAGCUCUUGAUCCGGCAAACAAACCACCGCU